GAUGAACGCUGGCGGCGUGCCUAACACAUGCAAGUCGAGCGAAGCGGGGACGGGUGAGUAACACGUGGAUAACAUCCUAUAAGACUGGGAUACCUUCGGGCAACCGGAGUUAUACCGGAUACUUAAAGCUGGAUCUGCGCUGCAUUAGCUAGUUGGUAAGUUAACGGCUUACCAAGGCCACGAUGCAUAGCCGACCUGAGAGGGUGAUCGGCGACACUGGAACUGAGACACGGUCCAGACUCCGACGAGAGGCAGCAGUAGGGAAUCUUCCGCAAUGGGCGAAAGCCUGACGGAGCAACGCCGCGUGAGUGAUGAAGGUCUUCGGAUCGUAAAACUCUGUUAUUAGGGAAGCGGUACCUAAACAGAAAGCCACGGCUAACUACGUGCCAGCAGCCGCGGUAAUAC
rnacentral:rRNA from 1 species